AGCAUGAAGCCCCCCUCAAGAUGAGAUUUCCCAUAGCGUAAGCUAGUAAGAUCCCUGAAAGAUGAUCAGGUUGAUAGGUUCGAGGUGGAAGCAUGGUGACAUGUGGAGCUGACGAAUACUAAUAGAUCGAGGACUUAACCAUAUAA
rnacentral:rRNA from 1 species